GAUCAUGGCUCAGGAUGAACGCUGGCGGCGUGCUUAACACAUGCAAGUCGAACGGAGCCUAGCGAGUGCUUGCACUUGCGAAAGCUUAGUGGCGGACGGGUGAGUAACGCGUGGGUAACCUGCCCUAUACUGGGGGAUAACAGUUGGAAACGACUGCUAAUACCGCAUAAGCCUACGGUGCCGCAUGACACAGUAGGAAAAACUCCGGUGGUAUAGGAUGGACCCGCGUCUGAUUAGCUAGUUGGUGAGGUAACGGCCCACCAAGGCGACGAUCAGUAGCCGGCCUGAGAGGGUGAACGGCCACAUUGGGACUGAGACACGGCCCAAACUCCUACGGGAGGCAGCAGUGGGGAAUAUUGCACAAUGGGGGAAACCCUGAUGCAAGCGACGCCGCGUGAGCGAAGAAGUUAUUUCGGUAUGUAAAGCUCUAUCAGCAGGGAAGAUAAUGACGGUACCUGACUAAGAAGCACCGGCUAAAUACGUGCCAGCCGCCGC
rnacentral:rRNA from 1 species